UGGCUCAGAUUGAACGCUGGCGGCAGGCCUAACACAUGCAAGUCGAGCGGUAGCACAGAGAGCUUGCUCUCGGGUGACGAGCGGCGGACGGGUGAGUAAUGUCUGGGAAACUGCCUGAUGGAGGGGGAUAACUACUGGAAACGGUAGCUAAUACCGCAUAAUGUCGCAAGACCAAAGAGGGGGACCUUCGGGCCUCUUGCCAUCAGAUGUGCCCAGAUGGGAUUAGCUAGUAGGUGGGGUAACGGCUCACCUAGGCGACGAUCCCUAGCUGGUCUGAGAGGAUGACCAGCCACACUGGAACUGAGACACGGUCCAGACUCCUACGGGAGGCAGCAGUGGGGAAUAUUGCACAAUGGGCGCAAGCCUGAUGCAGCCAUGCCGCGUGUAUGAAGAAGGCCUUCGGGUUGUAAAGUACUUUCAGCGGGGAGGAAGGUGUUGUGGUUAAUAACCUCAGCAAUUGACGUUACCCGCAGAAGAAGCACCGGCUCACUCCGUGCC
rnacentral:rRNA from 1 species